UAUUAAAACUUUCAUCCAUUUGUACUAUUAAAAAUUGACAUGACUAUCGAAAUAAUUAGAAAUAAUUAGACAAUAACAUGUGAUAUAUCAUGUAUAUUUCAUGCUGACAUACAAAGACCAAUAUUUAACAAUAAAAAUGAACGAAAUUUUUAACA
rfam:Gossypium raimondii Chr09_contig_626, whole genome shotgun sequence.